rnacentral:tRNA from 1 species
GCCGGGAUAGCUCAGUAGGUCAGAGCAACGCUCUUGUAAAGCGAAGGUCGCCGGUUCGAAUCCGGCUCCCGGCU